UACGAAGGGGGCUAGCGUUGCUCGGAAUCACUGGGCGUAAAGCGCACGUAGGCGGCUUUCUAAGUCAGGGGUGAAAUCCUGGAGCUCAACUCCAGAACUGCCUUUGAUACUGGAGAGCUAGAGCCCGGGAGAGGUGAGUGGAACUGCGAGUGUAGAGGUGAAAUUCGUAGAUAUUCGCAAGAACACCAGUGGCGAAGGCGGCUCACUGGCCCGGUACUGACGCUGAGGUGCGAAAGCGUGGGGAGCAAACAGG
rnacentral:rRNA from 1 species